rnacentral:rRNA from 1 species
UACAGAGGGUGCGAGCGUUAAUCGGAAUUACUGGGCGUAAAGCGUGCGUAGACGGUUAUUUAAGUCGGGUGUGAAAGCCCCGGGCUCAACCUGGGAAUUGCAUUCGAGACUGAAUAGCUAGGGUACGGUAGAGGGAAGCGGGAAUUUCCGGUGUAGCGGUGAAAUGCGUAGAUAUCGGAAGAACAUCAGUGGCGAAAGCGGCUUCCUGGACCAGUACCGACGUUCAGGCACGAAAGCGUGGGGAGCAA